CUCACCCAGCCCUGUUGUUCAACAAACAUUCUCCACAUUUUAGCUGCUGCUUCACGCAGAAAUUGUCUUCUUUUCCCUGCCUUUCUGAAGAGCCUGUCUUUUGCAGCACUACAGCCACCAACAUCAAAAGUCCUGUCAAUAUCAGGCCUUCUCCAUGGGAAGCGGGAAGCAGACAUUCCUUGAAGAAGGCUGCCUACUUCCUGAAGUUUGCCACCUAAGGGAGCUCAGACAGAAUGGAGGAUGGUGACUAAUGAGGUGAUGGCAGGUCCUGCUCGAAGGUUUUGUUGUUGAUUUAGCAACGUGUAAACCAGGUUACACACCGUGAGGAAGCCGAUGGCACGUACACAGAGGCCCAACACACACACCUCCUCCUCUCUGCCUGUUCUCUCCCCUGGCAAAGGACAGGCUGCUAGACUGCCAGCUUACAUUCAAGUCAGAGAGU